CCGGAAAUUCAUAAAAAUUUGCGGUAAUGACAUGGAGACACUUCUUUCUGAAUAACUAGUGAGAUUUGCUUUGUGUGGCAAUGGGGGAGGAGAAGGGCUUGUAUCACCUCCCUCACGACUCCACAGCCACUUUAAAACACGCGGCGCUUAUUCAGACUGACAGCAGAACCAGUUUGCUCUUAUUCACACACCCACUAAUUCUCAGUCAGAUGAGUUCCUCUCCUGACAAAGAACUGGAUUAGGAGUCAUUCUACUAGUACGCUAAACAAUUUCCAGAAGACUGAACUACACCAACAUCAGAUCAUCAGAUCAAACAUCAGUUCCAGUGUUCAGCCAUGGUGCUGUUUGAGGAUCAGGAAUGUGGGGUCUGUUACCUGCGUUACUCCCGCAUCGACCGCGUUCCCAGAACUCUCCACUGCAACCACACAUUCUGCACCCCCUGUUUGGAGACAAUGGGGCUGCAUUACAGCAGCCUGCGCACCAUUCGCUGUCCCCUCUGUCGCCAGGUGACUUGUGUGGACCGUGGGCUCAGCUUGCAGGAGGCUCUUUUUGUCAAUAGCCAAGUGUGGGACAACAUUUGCGAUGAGCAAGAGGAGGAAGAGGACGAGAGAGAACAGGAAAAAGAGGAAGAGGGGGAAAACGCUAAUAUGCAGGUGCUGCCCUCAUCACAGGUUGAAUGUCCAGUGCGAAAACAACACAGACCCAAACUCCGACUCCCGUCUUUCCUGAAGAGAAUGAGUUUUUCCAGGCACCCCGAAGAGAGGAUUGUUCCCACCUGCAAUGUGUAAGUCUUACUGUAAUGAUCGACAACUCAGUUGUGUAUGCCAUGUGCUAAUUACGUCUGGCGUAGCCUACUGAAAAAGCGGGAGCAACAGUCAGUCCUGGACAAGGUUGUUUAAACAAAUCCAAUCCCCUUCCAUGUGCUUCUGCGACUGCAUUUUCCACUUGAAUAGCCACAAGUCCGAAUCCUGCUCCUCCAUCUGAGGGGAACUUCUCAUUAGAUAUUCCACCCUUAAUCCGUCCCAGCUGCUGAGGCCGGAUUUGCUUCAGCUGUCCCGAGAGACGGAGGGUCCCAGAUGCGAAACAAGACUUUCAGAACAGAUGGCAUCUUGUGAAAGAUUCUGAUCACCCCCACAUCUCAAAUGGACUCUUUUAAGUUAUUUUAAGCUUUGUUAUUUAUAUAACUUAUAAAUUAUUGUAAAUUCAAAAAUCUGAUUGCUAAAUGUUGUUGGUUACUUUUUAAACAGUACAUCAUUAUGUCCUGAUUUACAUGCCUAUCUAGAGCAGAGGGGGUUCAAACUUUUUGAUACAAAGACCCCGAAUAUGACAUUACCUUUCUGAGGGACCUCUGUUUCCAAAGAAAAAAUAAUCAACUUUUUUUAUAUUAUCAUUGUGCUUGAAAAAGAAUAAAACAAAUGCAAUACCAUGACUUUUACUAGGCAAAUGAACAAUUAUAUAUGAAAUGAAAUGUUGAAAUGUACAAAUUAAU
ensembl:lncRNA E3 ubiquitin-protein ligase RNF168-like